rnacentral:rRNA from 1 species
CGCGGCCUAUCAGCUUGUUGGUGGGGUAGUGGCCUACCAAGGCGGCGACGGGUAGCCGGCCUGAGAGGGUGACCGGCCACAUUGGGACUGGGAUACGGCCCAGACUCCUACGGGAGGCAGCAGUGGGGAAUAUUGCACAAUGGGCGCAAGCCUGAUGCAGCAACGCCGCGUGCGGGAUGACGGCCUUCGGGUUGUAAACCGCUUUCAGCAGGGACGAAGCUUUUUGUGACGGUACCUGCAGAAGAAGCACCGGCUAACUACGUGCCAGCAGCCGCGGUGAUACGUAGGGUGCGAGCGUUGUCCGGAUUUAUUGGGCGUAAAGGGCUCGUAGGCGGUUGAUCGCGUCGGAAGUGGAAACUUGAUGCUUAACGUUGAGCGUGCUUUCGAUACGGGUUGACUUGAGGAAGGUAGGGGAGAAUGGAAUUCCUGGUGGAGCGGUGGAAUGCGCAGAUAUCAGGAGGAACACCAGUGGCGAAGGCGGUUCUCUGGACCUUUCCUGACGCUGAGGAGCGAAAGCGUGGGGAGCGAACAGGCUUAGAUACCCUGGUAGUCCACGCUGUAAACGGUGGGUACUAGGUGUGGGGUCCAUUCCACGGAUUCUGUGCCGUAGCUAACGCAUUAAGUACCCCGCCUGGGGAGUACGG